UACAGAGGUCUCAAGCGUUGUUCGGAUUCAUCGGGCGUAAAGGGUGCGUAGGUGGCACUGUAAGUCGGGUGUGAAAUCCUGGGGCUUAACCCCGGAACUGCAUUCGAUACUGCAGUGCUUGAGGACUGGAGAGGAGACUGGAAUUCAUGGUGUAGCGGUGAAAUGCGUAGAUAUCGUGAGGAAGACCAGUGGCGAAGGCGGGUCUCUGGACAGUUCCUGACGCUGAGGCGCGAAGGCCAGGGGAGCAAACGGG
rnacentral:rRNA from 1 species